GUGCCCGCUUGGGCAGCACAUAUACUAAAAUUGGAACAAUGCAGAGAAGAUGAGCAUGGCCCCUGCAUGAGGAUGAUACACAAAUUAGUAAAGUGUUUCAUAUUUUU
rnacentral:snRNA from 1 species